GUUUGCCUUAAAGACUGUCAGUGAUGUUAAGUUGGGGGAGGGGCUUAUGACCAUUGUCAGUGUGAAAUCCACACAACGUCCCUUUUCUUAAAUUUUGAUCAGAUUCUGUUGGUCAUCUUUUGUGUUUUGGAACCAAACAAACUGCAGGUCAUCAUUGUGCUGCGGCUGAUGAACAGCAGCCUUCCACAGACUUUAUGAAAAUGCUGGUCAUCUUUGGAAUCCUGGUCAUGUCCACACAAGUGUCCACAGGUCAGUUUCCUGCAUUUCACUUUAGAAUUUCCUUUUUUAUCCUGUUGGACGUGUAUACAUUUGAUCUGGAAUUUAGACAACCUGGGACACAAUUCUCUACACUUUGUCAUGAGAAAAGCUUGAGACUGAUAUUAAAGUGGAAUUCAAACUUUCUGCAUUAUUCAUUAAGAGUGGUUGGAUGUGAAGUGGGUCAUUGUAGAAAAAACGUGCCAACACAGAUUUCAUUAUAGAGACAACACAAAUACAGCCAACAAAAACAUGUAUUAGGCCAAAACAUUAAAAAAAACUAUUGUAAAGCAACGUCUCAAACAUCAGCUAAACUAAUCUUUACAUAUUUCAUGUAAUAACUUUCACUAAUGCAGCUUUAAGAGGCAUUAAACACUGCAGAUGUCUGGUUCCUAUCACAACCACUCUGAAUGACUUUAUAUCUAAGCAUGAAACUUAUGCAGCGAUUUUGGAAAAAAUUCCACUUUGGAAUGCUCCUUUAUUAUUAUUAUUAUUUAUUAUUUUUUAUUAUAGUGAAAUGAAAGUAUUUCUUGGUAAUCCUCUUCCCACCAUUCACUCAUUCACUCAUUUACUUCUUCACUGAAAACUGUGACUCGGUGUUUAAUCUCAGCUCUCUGGUAUAAACAGGCUGUUUAAAGUGUGUUAGAGGUGAAUACAGUAGACAACACUUCACCGUAUCAGAUUAAUGACAGAAUCUUCUUGCUGUUCUUCCUCUGCAGGUUUGCUGCCCAUGAACCCUGUUUGUAGAGUUACUCAGAGUGAUCCAUGUUAUGGAGCUGUGGGACGACCGCUGUACCUGCAGCUGCCAUCUGAGGAUGAAAUCAUCUUGAAGAGGAGCAACAGUGGAACUAAAACUACUAAUGGCAUUUUCAUGUUUAGAAAACAAACAAAAAAACAUUCAGAUUAUCCAAGAUGGCAGUUUGUUACUGAUAACAACACCAUGAUAAUCAGCAGUGCAGAGAAAAGAGACUCAGGGAAAUACACUUUAGAUACAUUUGAUUCAGCAGGGACAUCAACAGGCAUUUAUCACCUCCAGCUGGUUAUUGAAGAUGUGGUGUCCUCAGUGACUGUGACAGACAGCUGCUUAUCUAUUGAGAAGAGGAAAGUUUACUGUUCGUCUGAUGGAGAUAAUGUGCACUAUAACUGGACUCUCCAACAUACACAUCAACUGGCUGAUGGGAACCAGACUCUCCUGCUGGACAAAGAAGCUGUUGGACGUGUGACCUGCUAUGCUCAAAAUCACGUUAGUCGUGGACACAAAGCUAUUGAACUACAACAGUGUCCUGACACUUCCGGUGUGUUUUUGGUUGUGUGGUUUUUGGAGAUUUUUAUUCUGCUGUCAUUGUUGGGAGGUUUUCACAUCUACGGCAGAAUCCAAAGAAAACAGACCAGCAGAGCAGCAGAAAUGAAGGUACAGGAGGUGGAGGAGGGUCUGUACACCAACCUGAAUUGAGAACACAGACAUCAUCAUCAUCAUCAUCAGGAGAGGAGAUAAACUGUCAGACUCUCCACCUCAUACAACCUGAACCAUCAAGCACAUUUCAUGAGCACAGAUUCAGAUUGUUCAGAUUUAGGAUUGUGGUGAAUUUAAUGGACCAUGAAAACUCUCCAGUCUGAGUAGCAAUUUUGUUUGGCCUCAUGAAUGGACUUUUAAGUGUGUCCCUUACAAAGGACGGGUGAGGUUACAAUUCCAUAGUAAGUGCAUGCUGUACUAGUGUGAAGGUUUUUAUAGAGCAGUAUUUCUCACAGUGUUGCUUUGUUUCUUUUGUCCGUCUCUCAUGACCACCUUGCAAUGUAUUUCAAUGUACAGAUCUCUCAGUAUUUACCUGCUAUUAGUCAUCCUCGAUUUUCUCCUUCACGUUUAGACUUUAUAACUGGCAUAUUUAGAAUAGUAAUACUAGAUUAAUACAGAGUUUUUCAGCUUACCAGACACAAAAAUUUAUUUUGGUUAUGUAUGCUCUUGCCUUAAUGACAGUGUUAACAUUUUAAAAUAAAAGUAUCUGUUAACAGUACUUAGAGCAGGGGUCUCAAACUCAAUUUACCCGGGGUCCGCUGGAGGUAGAGUCUGGGUGAGGCUGGGCCGCAUCAGGUUUUCCACAAGAAAAGCUCUUACAAAAACAUUCCAAUGUUAUCAAAUGUCUUUAUUUUUAUUUUUUAACACAAAAUAAGAUGAAAAAAUAAAUAAAUUAACAAUUCAUAAAAAAAUAAAAUAAAAUCAAU
ensembl:lncRNA